UUACAGCCAUAUCACGUUGAAACACCAGUUCUCGUACAAUCAUCGUAGUUAAACAACGUCGAGCUUGGUCAGUACCUAGAUGGGUGACCGCUUGGAAUACCAGGUGCUGUAA